rnacentral:rRNA from 1 species
GAUGAACGCUGACAGAAUGCUUAACACAUGCAAGUCUACUUGAUCCUUCGGGUGAUGGUGGCGGACGGGUGAGUAACGCGUAAAGAACUUGCCUUGCAGUCUGGGACAACGUCUGGAAACGGCCGCUAAUACCGGAUAUUAUGAUUGAAUCGCAUGAUUUAAUUAUGAAAGCUAUAUGCGCGGCGAGAGGGCUUUGCGUCCCAUUAGUUAGUUGGUGAGGCAACGGCUCACCAAUACGAUGAUGGGUAGCCGGCCUGAGAGGGUGAACGGCCACAAGGGGACUGAGACGCGGCCCUUACUCCUACGGGAGGCAGCAGUGGGGAAUAUUGGACAAUGGACCAAAAGUCUGAUCCAGCAAUUCUGUGUGCACGAUGAAGUUUUUCGGAAUGUAAAGUGCUUUCAGUUGGGAAGAAGAAAGUGACGGUACCAACAGAAGAAGCGACGGCUAAAUACGUGCCAGCAGCCGCAGUAA